UGUCUCUUCAGCCUGCGAAUGUCGUCCGUCGUUUCAAGUAGUCCAGUGAUUAGGGGGUUUCGGUGUUUGUCGACUCUUUUGCUAUAUCUGCCGCUAUAUUUUGCUAUUUCCUCUUUAACUGUGGGUAUCUUGAGGUCACGGUGGAUUGUUUCGUUGGUAACAUACCAGGGUGCAUUUAAUAGGGAUCUUAGCGUUUUCGAUUGGAAGCGUUGGAGUAUUUCAGUGUUGGAGUUACUUGCU
rnacentral:misc_RNA from 1 species